CUGGAUAGGAGGGCCUC
rnacentral:tRNA from 1 species